ACAUUCCCUUGUUGCCGUGGGGAUUUCCCAGUCUGAGAUCUGCGGGAUCAGGCGAGCUGGUUUUGAGCACGGGGUGGCUGAGGCUGCUGUGCUCAGCUGGCAGAGCACAAGCCUGGCUGCUCAGAGCUGGGCACAGCAGCUCCCUUCUGCAGUGCCCACCAUGCCAGAGCCUCCAGGAACACAAGGGUCCCUCAGGGCAGGCAGCCCCACCUGCCAUCCCAGAAGGAGCUCCGACCUCCCUGCUCUCCGUGGGGCAGGAGUGGAGGGUACCGAGGCUGGAGUCUAGAGUACAUCCCUGGGAAAUACUCACUGAAGGACAGCUGAGAGGGGAGGGAGUGGAAAUCAGAGAAUACUCAGAAUCCAAUUACUGGCAAAAGAGAACAGUGCCACUGGUGGGAUCCAGGAGGAAAA